rnacentral:rRNA from 1 species
UUGCGGUUAAAAAGCUCGUAGUUGGAUUUCUGCCGAGGACGACCGGUCCGCCCAUUGGGUGAGUAUCUGGUUCGGCCUGGGCAUCUUCUUGGAGAACGUAGCUGCACUUGACUGUGUGGUGCGGUAUCCAGGACUUUUACUUUGAGGAAAUUAGAGUGUUUCAAGCAGGCUUACGCCUUGAAUACAUUAGCGUGGAAUAAUAAUAUAGGACCUCGGUUCUAUUUUGUUGGUUUCUAGAGCUGAGGUAAUGAUUAAUAGGGAUAGUUGGGGGCAUUCGUAUUUAACUGUCAGAGGUGAAAUUCUUGGAUUUGUUAA